AGCCGGGCCAGCAGUGUCGCCGGCCGGCCGGCCGAGACCCGCGGGCUCCAACCCUCGCGGCCUCCGAGCGGGCGAGGGAAGGCGAGGGGCUCGUCAGCCCGCGAUCGCGGCCCGGCGUCCCGCCGCUCACCUGCCAGCUGUCUUCGCAGUAGCAGCGCCGACUGCAGCUCCGUCAUCCUCCCCGCCAAGAGCCCGGGCUGCCGCCGGGGCUUCGAGGAACUGCGGACAAGCUCUGACGGCGGCUGGGGCUAGGUGUAUUGAGGAACCCGGGCCCCGCGACUGGAGCGCCGAAGCCGCGGGAGGCCGGUCUGGGGCGACCGGAGAAGCACCUAGCUGCCGAUGCGAGUCGGCUCCGCUCCGCUUUCCUCUCAGCGCCUCACGCCCGGAAGGGGAGGGUACCCGGGCCGCCGCGGCGCGCACUGGGACUUCGCUCGUCCGCUUCCCUCCUCAGCCCGCCCGUCGGCCCCACCGGUGCCUUCCCCCGCCACUGCCUCACUGCGCGUAGGGCCGCUCCGCGCAAGCGCGCUGAGCCUGCCUACUUCGGAAGCCGCACGCCGGCUAGCCCGACCCCUCGGCCCUGCUGCCCCGCCUCCGGCGGCGGAACCCCGCCCACCGCGCGCCGUGGGCUCAUCCCGGCCAUCUUGGGAAGGUCCACGCCCGCCUGACUGCGGAAGCCUCGGCUGGUAGACGCCCCGCGGACGCCAUGACAAAGAGGUCGCGGAGGGUCAGGACGCUGCCUCCUGAUGUCAGUAGGAGGUCUGAGCGACGGCACCAGCGGGGCAGAUGUCGAGUUGUUAGCGGGCACCCAGGGGCCAUCUAGCACUACAUAUACGAGUUCCCUGUACCUGGACUGUAGAAAACAAAAACUCUGCAAAGGAAAGCAACUACAUUUCUACCCAUAAAGGCCUGCUGCUUCGGUGAGCUCCAAGUAAAAUGAACAAGAGAAGCAGAUUCCAGCAGGUGGGAAGAUUUUUCCAUUCCUCUACCAGUGUACCUGGCACUACCUUCUAAAAAAAGCCUCUUACAUUCAUCUUCAGGCUCCUUCUGUGAACCAACUGUACCUGCAUUACAGAACUCUGGAUCAAGUGAAGAGCCAUGUCGUAAGGAGAGAGCAGCCAAUGAAUGGUGCGCCAUGUUUUUUCCGUUCGUCUUACUUACGUUUUCUGAAUCCUAGAGCAAGGCUCUACUGUGUAACCAUGGGUAAGUGGCUUCAGGUUUUGAGUGUCAGUUUCCUUAACUAGAAAGUGGAAAUAAAUAACUCUCUCGCAGAGCGUGGGCCAUUACUGGGGUGUGAUCACCCAGUACAGAAACUCAUUCUGUGGCAAUAGAGUGUCCCCUCUGCUCUGCAGGCUGGAAGGCUCUUCUGCCUCCCCUCAGCUGAGAGCCCUGGUAGGUCGUGGAAGUCCAUCCAAUCAGAUACAGCUGUCUGACUCAGAAGCCUGCUGCGGGAGAGUAGGGAAGCUGUAGAGAGCCUCCUGGCUAGAAGCACUGGGGGAACUAUGGGAGAGAAUGUCCUAAGGGCUGUUCCAGUGUGAACUGCAGUGAACCUAACGGGAGCAAAAUGCAAGCUUUCUGCAAGAUCUUUGCCUAGCACAUUCAGAGCCCUGGGUUUGAUACCCAAGCAUGGCACUAAAUUAAUUACUUAAUCAUUUUCAAUAAAUAAAUAAACACAGGCCUUCUGCUGAUAAAAUUUAGAUACUGUUUCUGUCUGGCUAUAUGACUUCCAAACCCAGGUCUCCAACACCCCCACCCUGAGUCAGAGACUGUGUGAGCCACCUAUCCUUUAAAAACCAGUUAGAGUAGAUUCCAUUAUUUGGAGCUAAGUUCCCUGGCAAUUUCCGUAAUUGUAGGUAAAUAUAGUGUCUGGUACUAGAAGUAGGGUCAAUCAGCCUGUACUUGUGGCCUCUGGCCUUCCGUGUAGAUGAGAUAAUACAUUCCCUUACAGCUUCUGGAAUUCCUACUGUAACUUCCAACUCCUUUAGCUUAAAUGCAUGAGAAUCAAUCUCUUUUUUUACACUUCCAGCGCCUGGAUGUACCAACGAUGCACU